rnacentral:lncRNA from 1 species
GAGUAACCAAUCUUUGGUAAACCUUAGAUUGUCCUCGACAAUUGUUUAAUCCUUUUAGUCAUAUCCAGUUCUAAACCUUUUCCCUUCUUAAUGCCCCAGGCAUUUGGAAAAUUUUAGAACGGAUGAAUAUAGCACAUGUAAUCGAUCCUAUAUCCGAAGCAUAUGGGACACGAUUCAUGAUGUCUUACAUAAAGACUAAACCAGUCUUUUGCUAUAAUAUUUCCAUUUCAAUUUGCCAAGUUCUCAUAAUUCAGAUUAUGAAAAGGGAUGCCGUAAUCAUAAUCGAAUUUUAGAACGCAAAUAAUGGACCCAUAUACAGAAUUUCCUUAUGUUGAGCCAUUCCAACAUGAAAUUCAUAUAUAUCCUUGACUAAAUGAUUAAAACCUCACGAUCUAAGCUUAUAGAUUUGAGAUGAAGCAUAAUUUCCUCUCCCUUAAUUAUAGCAAAACAACUUUUUCCCAAUUGAAACUUUUGUUUUCUAUAAUUAACAUUGCUAACUUGCAAUACUUAUCAUAAUUAUCAUGCUCCCACUAACAUGAUGAUUAUUAGCAUAACACUUAUGCUCCCACUAGCUUUGACAUGUACUCAGAAAUCAGCUGGACAGUCUGAAAUUUAGAUUCAUACACCCUUUCCGUAGAUAGCUCACCUGUGUGUCUAAGCAAUUUCAAGAACCAUGAAAAGGGAUACCGUAAUCAUGGUCUCAAUUGCUUAGGCAUUUGCCAUUUCUCACAAGUCCAUGUUAGUGUGCCGGUUAACCACACGCGCUCCACUAACGACUUUUGAAAAUGCAAAUAACACAAUUGAUAUCUUCGUAAAAUCUACUUAGUGAAAGCGUUUCCUCACCAUCAUUUUCAUGAAUCGGAGAGAAACCUUAUGACACUUAGAUUUAUAUGGUGUAUGAGUUCCUACCCAUAUGAAUUUGUCAAACCAUAAUCACAAGACAAAGAUAAUGACAAAUCCAAAACCAUAUGGAUUGAACUCAAUCUUAACUUCUUGCCACCUGGCAGCUCAAGGGCCUGCCAUUGCUUCCAAGUUGUUAUGCAACAAACUGAGAACUCUAAGAACUCAUAUGCAAAGCCAACUUUAACUGGAAUGGGCACAGAUAUGUCAACACGAUAGGUUAUAAACCUCAAGUCGUGUGCUAGUGAAGAACUUUAGGUUUUAUUCUUGAUUAUUUCUUGAGACUUUCAAGACCUUUAAGACUCCCACUGUCCUCUUGACAUAUAAGACUCCCUUGUCAAACAUCCAAGAGAUAGUGCGGAUUCUAAUCAAGAAAAACACUUUACCCAAUUGGCCUAAGUUGGUCUUUGUUUUAUCCAAAACAUCACAACUUACCAAUUUCAAAUGUACAAGAGUAGAAAACUUUUACUCUUACAUUUGACAAGUGUUUUAAACCUUCUUUAAGACAUGUCACUCAAAUGACAAUCUUGGAGUAUGACUCUAAGACUUGUAUUGGAACGAAGUAUGACUCAUCUUCUUGAUUUAACCAUUUCAACAAUUCAAGUUCCUCUUCUUAGUCAUAAGAAUGCACUAAGAUUUCCUUAGAGAACUAAUUUUGAUAUGGUUUCUUAAUCAUUAAGAUGAUCACAAAACUGAUACUAAAGUACUCUCCCAUCUUUUCAGAUUUGAGAAACUUUUAUCCUUCUGCCUUAUUUGAUUCUUCUUAUCGAUCUUUAGUGGUGGACUUAAUCAGUGCACAAGAAUGUGUACUCGAUCCCUAAGUCCUUUACUUGACUCACACAUCCAUGUGAACAAGUAAUUAGUCUUAAUUUUCCAAAACUUGAAAGUUCUCAUUCAUCAUGCUAUACAACUUGCAUGAUUCCAAGUUCCGGUCCAAUUGAAACUUGGGUGAUGAGAAUCUUUCCUUAUUUGGUAAAUUUAGACAUUACCACAAAUGAAAGAAUCAAUUUCAUAUUUCCACUCUUGCUCUUAAUGGAAUCAUAUAAGCAACAAUUUUUCCUCAAAUGCCAUUGUAAGGAUAUUUUAAAAUAAAUAAAAUAAAAAAUUUUCUUUUAUUUUAAAACUUUGCGGAAAAACUUAUCCUUACAAUCCAUAUGAAAACUUGUUGUUAUCUAUUCCUAAGCAAUAUCUCAUAACUCCUAAGAAGUAGCUCAAGAAUCCGAUCUUCAAACUAUGCGAUAGAAAUCCAUCUACGCCAUCAGAUUCAGCAUAUUCUUUCUUUAAGUUUCUUCACUUUUCUUUGAUUCUUAAAACAUCACCAUGUGACCCAGUCACAUCAUGUAUCAAGAAUCUCAGAAUAGAAACUUAACAGAGUUAGAUAGUGGACUUUACCUGAAGUAGAGUCAAACUUAUUGACUUUAACAUCCUUAGGUAAAUUUGGCAGCUUCGCAACCAAUGCCCCUUCCUUUGGCAAUAUAAACAUAUGGACCCUUUGAUAAUGGUACACAGGACUAUCACAGACUUAGCUUUUCUCUUUACCAUUUGGUCAACCGAGUUGACUAUGGCCGAUCCCUUUCCAUUGGGAAGAGAAUGCUUUACUGGAUAUCCAAUGUCAUCAUUGUCAAUGUCCAUAAAGUUUUAGGAAGUUGAUCUUAGCAAAUAGAUAAGAUCAUUAAGGGUCUUGUCAUAGUCUGUUUCAUAGGUGUCCCAAAGGAACUCACUAUGUGACUUAGAAAGUGGUUGAACCACCAACUUUCUCAAGACUUUGACACCCAACUCUCCCGGCUUGUCAAUAUGUGACUACAUCUCCAAGAUGUGACCACACCUAGACCUUGCCUUGCUAAUAGGGCCUGAGUGACCUUAAACUUUUCAAGAACUUGUGGGUUAGGGAGAAUAAUUUGAAGAGGUGAAGAAGUAUGAUAUCCAUGGGACAUCAUCUUCAUUAGGAAACCUUGUUUCAAGAGAUUUGGGAAGAUCAUAGGUGUCUAAACCAGACAUCUUUUGGGAGAUAUUCAAGAUAGUUGAUUUAAAGUCCUUAAUAUGACACCCAAUAUGAAAUAUUAAGGCUAGGACCCAACAAACUAUUUUAUAACUUAGAAGAGGUAUGCCGUAAUCCAAGCUAUAAAAUAUUUGAAGGUAGGUGAAUGACGAUUCACCAAUUUCCACCAAGAUAAACGAAAUGUAUUAUUAGGUUUUAAUUGGUUUUGAAACUCCUAGAUCUUUGAGAUUCAUUGAACUUUUCAAAGGCAUGUUUCAAUCUCGAGUGUGCCCUUCAGGUUUUGUGACUGGGAUGCCGAGGAUCACAAAACAAGGUGUGAAGUAACCAUGCAAAUCACUUGGUACCCUUAAUAAAUUACCCCUCAAUCGAUGUGCCGGUUAACCACACACGCUCCAUCGAUACUAUGAUAAAUAUUAAGUCACCCUUUACCUACCUUGUUAAGUCCAAGUUAGUGUGCCGGUUAACCACACACGCUCCACUAACGACUUAGACAAAGUGUAAAGUGUAAUUUCAUGGAUUAGCACCUUAUUCACAUUUUUCCUAAGUAACUAAGAUUGGGUAUUAUUAAGAGUUUAGUUACUUAGUAUUAUCAUUAAUACUUUUAAUGAAGGGAGAAUUCUAGUCCUGUCAAACCCGUUCGGCUAACGACCCUCCACCAGUCAAGCAAGCGGUGGGUGAGAGUGGACACCCAUUAAGUUGCCAUUUUAUAGGCAACAACCUUAUACCCACCUUAUAGACCGGCUUCGUGAAUGAGGCGUACUAGCGGUAAGACUGACUUUACUCUUAUACAUAUAUAUAUUAUUAACUUAUAAUAUUAUAAAGUAUAAGGGUUGAAUUUUAACUUUUAAAAUUCUAAGGGCUAACUUGGAAUUAAAGUAUUCAUAAGAGAAAACUUUACAAAUUCCAAAACUUGAGGGCAAGUUUUGAAACUAUUCAAAACUAAUUAAUUCCAUGAUUUAUGUGUUUAAAGUAGUUUUAAUCCAAAAACUCUUCAAGUUCCAUAACUUGAGGACAAGUUAUGGAAGACUUUAAACUAAUAAAAGAAUUAACUUUUCUUUAUUUUAUAACUUAUGGAAUUAAUUAAGGUUACACUUUUUUUUUUUUAUUAUUUAAUGAAGAGACUCUUGGUCCUCCAUAACUUGAGGACAAGUUAUGGAGUCAUAAAACCAUUUAAUUAGAACUAGACUCUUCAUUUUGUAACCUUUGCCAACUUUUAUGAGUUUUAUGAAACUUAAAUGUGACUUUUCAUAUAACUUGAGGACAAGUUACAAAAACACAUUUUAGAAUCAACUCUUAGAUUAAUUUGGAUUGAAAACAACUAUUUCACUCAACUUUUCUAUUAAUCUAAGCAACUCAUAAGAACAAGAUAAUUCAAAUCAAACUUUUUCAUGUAAUUAGUCUAAACCUUAAACUAAUACAAAACAUGAAUCUAUUGACAAUUAUCUUUGAAAUUGGAUUAGCAUGAACAUUACCACAUCAAAAACAAGUUUAUAAGUUCAAAAACAUCUUAGGGUAAUGUUCCUAGUCCAAUUCCAGCCCAAAAAGUCGAAUUUAUGUUGUCUGGGGGUCCAACUCAUCGAGUACAUGAACGAACUCGGCGAGUUGGAUUGAUUUGAUCACUUUUUAGGUAUGGACUCGCCGAGUCUCUUGAUUGACUCGUCGAGUCUGAUGAUCAGACAGCAACAAUUUCGAUUUUUUAAGCUUCUUUUGCUAGUAUAACAAGAAGACAAGCCUAGGCUUUGAUACCAGUAUUGGAUUUUGAGCAUUCUAACACUCCUAAGUGUACAUGCAACCCUAAAUACCUUGGAUCUAUGUUUUCUCUAUUAUACAUGCAAAUAAGAACUUCCAAGGUAUUAUCCUAAUCUAGCAUACAAAACAAUGAGUGUAACAAGAUAGAAUACAUACCUCUUAGAUGUAGAAAGUCUUUAUGAAGCUUGAGUGCCUAGUGCCCCAAGUGUGACACCUCAAAUGGUUCACACAACACCAAAUACACUUGGAAUAACUUGAGAGAAAUCUACACUUCAUGAAAUCGACUAGCCCUUCUAUUACACACACUAGUGGCCGAUUUUUGUCAAGAAUAGAUCUUUAUAUAGCGUUACAAUUAGGGUAAACCCUAAUUGUCAUGAAUUUCCAUUUCCUUGGAUCCAUGGGUUCAAAUACACCAUGGAGCAUCCAUGGACCAUCCUAUGGCUUUUAGCCCAACUUGAUUACCCAUGGAGUAUUAGCCCACUAUACAAGUAUGGAUGAUUUACACAAUCAACCCAUAUAUUUAAUUAGUCUUCUUUUGAUCACUUAAUUAAUCCUAGAUUAAUUAUUGAUCAAUACUAAUUAAAUAAUCUUAUUAUUCUUAUUAUUAAUAUACUAGAACUUAUAAUAUAUUAAUAACCAUAAGUGUCUUAUUUCUAUCAUUAUAGUCUAUCCAAGUGCAUGAUGCCAUGUAACCCAAAUGGACCAUGCCGGGUCGGGUCAAGUCUUACCAAUUAUAGUUAUGGACUUAGACAUUAAUCCAACAUACUUGGUGUAUGCAAGCCGUAUAUAAUUGAGGUUGUCAGGAUGUUCAGUUGUGCGACUCCACCCCAGCCCCACACCCAACGAGGAACAGGGAGUAGGGAGGAAGCACACAUCUUAAAUCUUUUUAAUCUCAAUUAUAUACCACCCUUAUGCAUAUACUCAGUUAUAGUGAUCAGUCCCAUGAGUUCUAUCCUCUUGAUUCACAAACUCGAUUGCGAGGUGCGAAGGGUAUUUCUGGGGGACCUACGGAGUAUGCUUCGGGUGGUUAUCGUCUUUUGGAAUACUUGCAGUGUCUUUCGCUUCGGUUUCUAUCUGUCUGAGAAGUGUUGGUUAAUAGCGCGUGGUACCCUUCUCUUGGGUACUUCGGAAGGUUGGAGAUGAGGGACGACUGACGGAUCACAUUAGGUUUUAUUAUCUUUAUUAUGUUUAGGUUCGGAAGUGUAGGGUUUUGAGCAAUCUAACACUCCUAAGUGUACAACCCUAAAUACCUUGGAUCUAUGUUUUCUUUAUUAUACAUGCAAUUAUGAACUUUCCAAGGUAUUGUUCUAUUCUAGCAUACAAAACUUUGAAUAACACAAGUUAGAAUAACAUACCUUUUGUUGGUGCUUGUCUUCAUGAAGAUUGAGUGCCUAGUGCCCCAAGUGUGACACCUCAAAUGGUUCACACAACACCAUAAGCACUUGGAAUAACUUAGAGAGAAAUUAGAACACUUCAAGAAUCGGAUAGCCCUCCAUGCAUAUCAUAGCCACCGAUUUUCCCAAGAAAGAGAUCAUUNNNNNNNNNNNNNNNNNNNNNNNNNNNNNNNNNNNNNNNNNNNNNNNNNNNNNNNNNNNNNNNNNNNNNNNNNNNNNNNNNNNNNNNNNNNNNNNNNNNNAAUAAUGGACCCAUAUACAGAAUUUCCUUAUGUUGAGCCGUUCCAGCAUGAAAUUCAUAUAUAUAUUAUUAACUAAAUGAUUAAAACCUCAUGAUCUAAGCUUAUAGAUUUGAGAUGAAGUAUAAUUUCCUCUCCCUUAAUUAUAGCAAAACAACUUUUUCCCAAUUGAAACCUUUUGUUUUCUAUAAUUAACAUUGCUACUUUUAACCUUUAUCAUAGUUAUCAUACUCCCACUAACAUGAUGAUUAUUAGCAUAACACUUAUGCUCCCACUACCUUUGACAUGUACUCAGAAAUCAACUGACUUUCUUACUCUAGUUCAGAUUUCUGAUACGAGAUUGUUUUGAUAAGACUUUAUCAAAAUCAUACACCUUCCAUUAGAUAGCACACUU